UGUAAAGUGUGUGCGGUGCAAGCAGA
rnacentral:piRNA from 1 species